AAUCUUCACACCUCUCUCUCUCUCUUCAACUCAGAAGAACAUCUUCGAUCCGGUUGUCUGCAAGUAACAUAAACACAACUUCAUCUUCACAUAUCUCUAAUUUACUCAACAGGUAUCAAGAAGCGUUUUCCUUCUGAUUGAAUCACAUACAAUCCAGACAAUACAAGCAAUCAGGUAUGAAAUCUCACUUUAAUCAGUGUUGAAUUCAGACCACAGACAGAUCUGUUGAAACGAGGGUUUUGUUUUCUGUCAUAAAAAUCUGCCUUGAUGUCUUUGCUUAAUUAGGGUUUUGUUUAGUAUCUACCUGUUUGGCUACACUAUAUAUUAAGGUGAAAAUUAAAGAUUGUAGGGUUCUGAAGUUAUUUUUAUUGAAAUCUUGAUGAAUGAAUUAUAUGUAUUGAAAUGUUGGGAUUAAACUGUAGAAGAAUCUGAAAUGAGGGUUGUCUUUCUUUUUGUAUUUGUGGUUCAUGCAUACCUUGAAAAAAAUAUAUAUUGUGGCCUAAAAUCACAAGAAAUGAUUACGAUAAAUGACAAACGAAUUGGAUUUUUCAUUAUUGUUAUCUAGAUUCUGUUCGGUAUGCAUGUGUUCAGCAGAUUUGGUGGUUUGAAGUCGACGGUGAGGUGGAGUUUCCUUUUCCAUGUGGGACCUACACCCUCUACUUCCGCCUGCAGCUCGGGCGGUCAGGCAGACGCGUCUGCAACUCAGACCAUGUCCAUGGCAGGGAUAUAAAACCCGUGAAGUUCUAGCUCUCAAUUUCAGAUAGUCAAAAGGCGACGAGUCAAUGUUAUUUGUCGUCCGAUUCUAGAACAGCGGAGUCAAUGAUGAAGACGACAGCAAUGCUGUACUUGACAGCAAGAACUUCUGCGGGAGAACAAGAGAAUGAUAGAUAAAUCUAUUAGAGAAAUAGAAAGAGAGAGGCAAGGUUUGCAGACGCAAGAAAAGAAACUAAUCGUAGAAAUCAAGAAAAUUGCUAAACAAGGUCAAAUGGUAUGCCACAUAGGAUUCGAUGACAUCAUAAAUCCGACCUUUCUGCAUGACAUCAUAAUUCAGAUUUCAUCUUAAAGCGAUGGAGGUAGAAGACAGCUGUGUCAUUACUCAUGUUCAAGAUAAGCUCUUUCGUGUUCAUGUGAGCAAGAAGAGAGGAAGACACAAAGGAGGUGUGAAACAUAGUUCAGAUGAUACAGGUUCAGGUGUCAAAUCCGUAUCAUGUGAACUGUGUUUGACACAUCCUUUGUGUCUUUCUCUCUUCUUGCUCACAUGAACACGAAAGAGGUUAUCUUGAACAUGAUGUUAUCUAUUAAGGGAGCUUAGAUAAUGACAUAGAAUUGGCUACGUGUCAACUUCUCAUGUAUGCUAUGUAGUCCUCGCUGAUGUCAUAAUUACGAAACAGUAUCCUUUAGUGUUGUUUUCGCUAAAGUUUGAAACGGUAUUGUUUAGUGUUACUCUACCUUCAAGGAAAGUCCAAGGAGCAGCUAUGACAAGGUUUAAAGCUAUUGAAUGGCUUGAAAGUGUAGUUAGGCCAUUGGAGAUACCAAAACAACCAUCAAACUUUUUGAUAGGUCAAAGCUUCAUGUUUCCAACAACUAAUGGUUGUUCUAUCGUAAAGACUUCUGGAGAGCUGGGAACGACUGGAAGUUGUGGUGGCUGUGUGACCGAGGUAUAAUCGAAUUGAAGUUUGUAGAAGUAAUUUUAUACAUCAGCUUGAAAAGGUAUUUAACUUUCGUUGAAUUGAAGUUUUUCAUAGAUCUUAACUAUUCAUAUGAUCAUCAUCAAAUGUAACUAACAAAGAAUCAAUAAAAUGCUAAUAAAACAUUAGAAUCAAUUGAUCAAACAACUACACUUGAGUCUGUAAGAGUACCAUAUUGAGUGCUGUUGUCCCUAAUGUAGCUUUUGACUUUAGCCCCAGAAUAUCUACAAGUACCAAAUAAUCUUAAUUUAAUUAAAAUUAAGGAAAAAGUUACCCGUGUUUGUUGAAACUGUUUCGCUUCCAAAAUUGUUAAAGUCAGCACAUAAAUGAACAUUAAACAGAUCAUCCAUGGUACCAAACAACAAUGUUAAGAUAUAAAACUAAAAUGUGAUAAAAAAAAUAAUACUUAUAAAAUAUGAAGUAUUAAGAAAGUAGCAAUUACAUAUAAAAAAGAAAACUAAUCAGAGACAUCUAACUCUAAUUGCAAGAAUCAAGGAACUUUAACUUCAACUCCAUGGAGCACUGAACCUCUCUGUGUAUCUCAUUGAUCUUUCUCAUGAACUCCAGAUCUCUUUCUCCACAUUCUAUAUUACUCGCAACACACAGGUCACGAACGGAAGUAGUCGGCAUUGCCCUCAAGUCCCUCGAAACUUGGUCUCUUGUCAGCAGACCAAGUUCCAGUCCGUUAAAACACCUCUUCAACUCAUGAAGAGUAGAUCUAUCAGCCAAAACUUGGUCUUCGAUUUGUUUAAUAAAGCGUUGCUUGAAAUCGUCAGAUUUUGCAGAAGUAUAUGACUCCAUUCUAAUAUAUUUAUAAGAACAAAGGCAAAACAAUAAUAGUUGCACUUUUGUUUCACUGAAUGAAUCUGUUUUGAUGAAAAAAAAAUUUAUUGGCAAUGCUAUUAUAUACUAUAUGUAACAGGCCAAAGGUCAGCUUUAAAGGCAAACAUUAAAUUAACAUUUAUACUUAAAAACCAUGUACAUUUAAUGAUUUAAGAGUAAAAAACGUGUAUAUGGGAAUUGUCUGUUCAGUUAUCCUAUUAAGCAUUUUAAUGCAAAACCUUUGAAAAAUGAGUUUUCAUGGGAAAACAAGUAAAAUUAAAUAUGUAGAAAACCAAGGAACAAAAUUGAAACCUUCAAAAAAAGGUUAUCAUAAUUAUGAGAUGUCUCUUCAUUUUCUCUAUCAAAGAUUUUAAACACUAUAAAGCAUCAUUAUUAUUUUACUUGAAAACAUCAACACUUCAGUUUAAAAAAAAAACAUUCAUCCUAAAACAAAUUGUCCAAAAACACUUACAUUCUUCCUAAAUGGCAAGGAAAACCUUCUACCACUGGUCCGAUACCACUGAUCUUAAAAUCGAAUUUUCAACCUGGUCACUCCAAGAACAAAGAAACGCUGAAGAACUCAACCAAAAGGUUGCUAUUGUUAGUGAUAAAUAUUAUAAGCAAACCUGGAGUAGCAUUGCACUGCUAGAUGAAGUUGCCUCUUCUACUCCAAUAGAGUUUAAACAAAAAGCAGAAGAGUUUAUUACAAAUUUGCUGAAACAGGAUCAGAAGACCUGUGAUAUGCUAGCUGAUCUACAAAUUAAAACAAAAAACGAAAUUGCAUGGAAGAAGGCGAGAGAACGAGAUAUUCUAUUAAGUGUUAAUUGUAAUGUUUAAUUUUUAAUUUUUAUUAUUUUUCUAAAUCAUAAUUUUGUAAUACUAUGGUUUAUUAUUGAAUAUUCAAAGUUUCACUGCUUUCAUAAUUUUGCAAUUUUAGUUUUACCAGUUUCUUUUAUCCAAGAUUGCUACUGGUUGGUUAAAAUUUUGGGUUUAUGACGUGUUGUUUCAUUAAAAUUUGGUUAAAAUUUUGGGUUUAUGACGUGUUGUUUCCUGUUGUAGGCUUACCUCAAGUUAUUGUUGAAGGGGAACCGAUGGUCCGAGCAUUAAAUACCAUUGAGUAUCCUCUGUUAUGGUUGCUUCCAUAUCAACUGAGACCUACACAGUAAUUGUAGUACAAGAUUCUAAGUUUGUUAAUCUGAUUAUUGAAGGGGAACCGAUGGUCCGACCAUUAGGUCGCUUUAGUUUUAUUUGUGGGUGAUUUUGUAAAUGAAUAUUGAAAUAAGUAACCCUAUAAUCUGAAAACAAGAUUUGUAAUGUGUACAGAAUGUGCAAGGCGUUACUUCCAGUAAAUGAAGAACAUUUGACUGAUGAAGCCAUAUGGGAGUCACUUCCUGUAAAGCAUGAUCACACAGUCAUCACUAAUGACCUUUCAGCAUCGAAAAACAUCAAAUCCAAAAAUCUAAUGUGUUCUUUGCUUUUUAAGGGGAACAUAGGUGCUUCUCUCCUAGGGCAUACAAAACACAGGUUGUUGGCGGCA